rnacentral:rRNA from 1 species
GAUGAACGCUGGCUGCGUGCCUAAUACAUGCAAGUCGAGCGAACAGACGAGGAGCUUGCUCCUCUGACGUUAGCGGCGGACGGGUGAGUAACACGUGGAUAACCUACCUAUAAGACUGGGAUAACUUCGGGAAACCGGAGCUAAUACCGGAUAAUAUAUUGAACCGCAUGGUUCAAUAGUGAAAGACGGUUUUGCUGUCACUUAUAGAUGGAUCCGCGCCGCAUUAGCUAGUUGGUAAGGUAACGGCUUACCAAGGCAACGAUGCGUAGCCGACCUGAGAGGGUGAUCGGCCACACUGGAACUGAGACACGGUCCAGACUCCUACGGGAGGCAGCAGUAGGGAAUCUUCCGCAAAGGGCGAAAGCUUGACGGAGCAACGCCGCGUGAGUGAUGAAGGUCUUCGGAUCGUAAAACUCUGUUAUUAGGGAAGAACAAAUGUGUAAGUAACUAUGCACGUCUUGACGGUACCUAAUCAGAAAGCCACGGCUAACUACGUG